GCCAGGCACUGUGGUGUGUGCCUGUAGUCCCAGCCACAUGGGAGGCUGAGGCAGGAGGAUCACUUGAGCCCAGGAGUUUGGACUGUAGUUUGCUAUGAUAGUGCCUGUCAGUAGCUGCUGCACUCCAGUCUGGGCAAUGUAGUGAGGCCCCAUUUCUU
ensembl:misc_RNA Metazoa_SRP Metazoan signal recognition particle RNA